CAGCAGUAGCCACGGUAAUACGAGGGGUGCAAGCGUUAUUCGGAUUGAUUGGGUGUAAAGGGUGUGCAGACGGCUUAUUAAGUCACUUGUUAAAUUCUUCGGCCUAACUGAAGGUCUGCAAGUGAUACUGAUGAGCUAGAGGGUGGAAGAGAGAAGUGGUAUUCUCGGAGUAGCGGUAAAAUGCGUAGAUCUCGAGAGGAACACCAAUGGCGAAGGCAGCUUCUUGGUCCAUUCCUGACGUUCAUACACGAAAGCGUGGGGAGCAAACAGGAUUAGAGACCCCCGUAGUCCCUGUCUCUUAUAC
rnacentral:rRNA from 1 species